AUAUAUAAAUAUCCUAUUAACUAAAUAUAUUAUGGAAUUACGAGAAUGGAGAGAUAAAAGUAGACGAGCUUAAUUCACGUAAAUACAGAUGAACACAUACCGUCACGAUAUAUGUAAAAGCAUUUCCAAAAGCUUUCAACCAUAGGAACGGCUCGUUUUGCAAUUAGCGAAAAAAAAAACAAGAAACGUGUUCGUUUAAAAUCAAUAUUUCGAAUAAUUUGGUCGUUGUGUCCAUGUUGAAUAGAAAGAGGAACAGAAAGGAAACAGAAGCGAUAUGCACCGAAUUCAAACCUAAUAGCUUUCCUUUCUCGUUAAUAAUUACCAUAGUCGACCUUUGAUCGUAUUGGAUUUGAGCAAGACUAGUCGUGUACGCGUUUUACCUAGAACGACGAUUUAAUUAACGAGGUUUCUCUUCGUAGAGAGGAUCGCGUUACCGUUAUCGUUACAACCAAACAAACGCGUUGUCGUCCCGUAUCAACGGGAGAACGUAUGUACAUACAUACAACACGCCUCGUAAUUAUUUUGCAUUUGCUAAUUGGUCGGUGGUCGUGUGUAGUUGUCUCGGGAGCAAUUUAACCGGCUGCACCAGCUGGUACAUCGGGCGAAGCCUUUCAUAUUCUCAUACUCUCCGUCCCAUUCUACUCUCGCGUUCGACAAGUGCAAACUUCGUCAGCCUAUAUCGAGUUAUAUCAUUAUAAAUUAUAUAAAUUAUACAUCCGAGAAGCGUAGGAUUAUAUUAAAGAAAUAAGAUGAUAUCUUAUCAACGACAUAUCUCAUCUUGCGAAUACGACCACGAAUAAUAAUAGCGACUCGCGAGAAAGGCUCCGCGCUAAUUAGGAAAUCAGCGGGGGAAGAUCCGCGAGAAUUUCGAAGGAAUGAAAGACAACGACGAAAGGAUACGACGAAUGGAAAGGAAGAAACUCACCUCGUC